UGUGUGUGCUGCAGGUUUCCAAAGCAGAGGGCACAGAAAAACUCCUCACCAGUUCAUUAAAAGGGCCCCACUUCUGGCAGAGGCAGGGAGCGCCGUACAAGCCACCAAACACAGCACCAUGAUGAUGUAAACAUGGUAGCCAACGUAAAAACUGCAGCUCCUCGUGGACAUGAAACAGCUUCAACUUUUGCUGCAACACAUCACGUUGGCCAAUCACAGACAUUCAGGUGCAUAUCCCUGGAUUACUGUGUGAACUGGAAGUGUUAGCAAGGACCAGUACCAGGUCCCAGUUUGAUGACCUGUUAGCCAGGACCAGUACCAGGUCCCAGUUUGAUGACCUGUUAGCUAGGAUCAGUACCAGGUCCCAGUUUGAUGACCUGUUAGCUAGGACCAGUACCAGGUCCCAGUUUGAGGACCUGUUAGCUAGGACCAGUACCAGGUCCCAGUUUGAUGACCUGUUAGCUAGGAUCAGUACCAUGUCCCAGUUUGAUGACCUGUUAGCCAGGAUCAGUACCAGGUCCCAGUUUGAUGACCUGUUAGCCAGGAUCAGUACCAGGUCCCAGUUUGAUGACCUGUUAGCCAGGAUCAGUACCAGGUCCCAGUGUGAUGACCUGUUAACCAGGACCAGUACCAGGUCCCAGUUUGAUGACCUGUUAGCUAGGACCAGUACCAGGUCCCAGUUUGAUGACCUGUUAUCCAAUCCUGCUUAGUCCUGAGUUUUUGUCUUCGACUGCUUUCUGAAAAUAGAAAAAAUAUUUGGAACGACAGUUUUUACCUCCUUGUUUGUGCAGGGCUGGAAACCCUUCAAGUUCUUUCCAGAAGAACAUUAAAUGUUUUUUUUUAGUUUUAUAAGGAUCACAAGAUCCACUAAAGCUUGAGAAAUAAUCAGCAGCCGAAAGCCUUUAUGUCUGUGUGUGUGUGUGUGUGUCUACUUUGAUUAAACUUUAAAGCAAAGACAUUUCACUUUCAGACGUCAUCUUCACACCAGUCAGGGCGGAAAGAGGUGAAACUGUCAUUAACAGCUUCACUGCAGUUAAACAGCCGAAGCUCUCUCACCUAAUCUCUGCUCAACAAGUUUAAAAAUACAAACCUCAUUUACAUAACUAACACACACACACACACACACACACACACACACACACACACACACACACACACACACACACACACACACACACACACACACACACACACACACACACACACACACACACACACACACACACACACACACACACACACA